CUUGUCGAGUAUGAUGUAUGGUGUAUUAGGUGCAUGCAAUUUCAUUUUUUCUUUUUUUCUCUGGUGAUUGACUCUCUGCCGUUCAUGUUGUGCCUCAUGACACACUAAAGAACUUUUCAUGUAGGCCACUAUUAUAAUAUUUGUUUAACUAUAACUUCUUAUCUUUUAAGUCUUAGCAAUAUAAGGACCAAAAAUGAACAUUUUAAAAGUUGAGGGGGGCCAUGGCCCUCCUCAGACUAUAUGUGGCUUCGUCCCUGAGUAUGUGGACAUAGAACCCUAUGAAUGCAUGGACUAUAACAAUAGUGAACUUGGUGAUAUCAUGACUCGAGAUUUGGUUAGCAUCAAACAUGAAACCAUGAAACUAGCAUAAAGGGCUAGUUAGAAUAAAGUGUGGCAUUGUCUUUCAUUGGAUCUUCUAAAGGAAGAUCAGAUCAGAUCAUACUCACAUCAGUUUUAUGUUCAAGGAAGGUCGCUCCUCCUUGAACGAUGAGCUCCGGAGUAGUCAUCUUAACUGGAUCAGGAGCUAGCGUCUCCCCCAGUAGACAGUCCCGUCGGGAUGUAGCUUGCGUCUCCCCGAUACUUGGGAUUUCGUCGACCUAGUGGGUGAGUCGGCGAGGUCGGCAGUCGAACCCACUGGAAACUUUUAGUAGUUCUCACACCACUAACCAUACAGGUUCCAGCUCGUGCGGGGUGAUCGAGGAUCGUGGUAUGGACAGCAUUUCAUAGAUAGUGGACAUCCAAUGAGUAUAGUUGUACCUUAUUUCUUUCAUCUGUUUAUAGUUGAUGAAAGCAAAUGUAAAUUAUUCAUUUGAGAGAUGGCAAUGUAUAUGUUGGAAGAAUGAAUGUAAUAAUUAUGUAAGCUUUGUAUUUGAUUUAAAGUAAUCAAGAUACAAUAUAUGAAUGCUUUAGUUAGUUUACUUACACUUGCUUGUGUUGCU